CGAGUGAAGCGGCAACAGCUCAAAUUUGAAAUCUGGCGCAAGCCCGAGUUGUAAUUUGCAGAGGAUGCUUUUGGUGCGGUGCCUUCUGAGUUCCCUGGAACGGGACGCCGGAGAGGGUGAGAGCCCCGUACAGUUGGACACCAAGCCUUUGUAAAGCUCCUUCGACGAGUCGAGUAGUUUGGGAAUGCUGCUCUAAAUGGGAGGUAAAUGCCUUCUAAAGCUAAAUACCGGCCAGAGACCGAUAGCGCACAAGUAGAGUGAUCGAAAGAUGAAAAGCACUUUGAAAAGAGGGUUAAAAAGUACGUGAAAUUGUUGAAAGGGAAGGGCUCGUGACCAGACUUGCGCCCGUCGGAUCAUCCGGCCUUCUGGCCGGUGCACUCCGGCGGGCUCAGGCCAGCAUCGGUUCUUCUGGGGGGACAAAAACGGCGGGAACGUAGCUCCUCCGGGAGUGUUAUAGCCCGCCGCAGAAUACCCCCGGGGGGACCGAGGACCGCGCUUCGGCAAGGAUGCUGGCGUAAUGGUCACCAGCCACCCGUCUUGAAACACGGACCAAGGAGUCAAGCAUUAGGGCGAGUGUUUGGGUGUCAAACCCGCACGCGAAAUGAAAGUGAACGCAGGUGAGAGCUUCGGCGCAUCAUCGACCGAUCCUGAUGUUUUCGGAUGGAUUUGAGUAAGAGCCUUACCGCUUGGACCCGAAAGAUGGUGAACUAUGCUUGGAUAGGGUGAAGCCAGAGGAAACUCUGGUGGAGGCUCGCAGCGGUUCUGACGUGCAAAUCGAUCGUCAAAUCUGAGCAU
rnacentral:rRNA from 1 species